rnacentral:rRNA from 1 species
UGUCCGGAUUUACUGGGUGUAAAGGGUGCGUAGGCGGCUUUGCAAGUCAGAUGUGAAAUCUAUGGGCUCAACCCAUAAACUGCAUUUGAAACUGUAGAGCUUGAGUGAAGUAGAGGCAGGCGGAAUUCCCCGUGUAGCGGUGAAAUGCGUAGAGAUGGGGAGGAACACCAGUGGCGAAGGCGGCCUGCUGGGCUUUAACUGACGCUGAGGCACGAACAGCGUGGGUAGCCAACAGGAUUACAUACCCGGGUAGUCCACGCUGUAAACGAUGAUUACUA